AUUCCUCUAGUAUCACACGGACAGUUGUAAUAACAUUAUACAAUAUGAAACAUUUCCGUAAGUAUUAACGUAGUAGACGUAUUUAAUGUUUUAAUACUGGAGACCUUCGAUUUUAGUGGGUGUCGAGUCUUUGUGUCUCUCCCUCCUAUCAUUUACGGAUGAAAUAUAAUAUAUAAUUAUGUAAUUGUUGUAUACAAUGCUCAUGUGCACGACAACGGUUUAUGAUUUGGCUGCUAUUUCUAGCUGAAGAUGCUACCUUCUACACUCUUCAUUGUUGCCCCGUUAGUUUGUUGCGUGUUUUAGUUUACUCUUUUACUUGUCAGUCAUUUGACUGCGGUCAUGCUGGAGCACCGCCUUUAGUCGAACAAAUCGACCCCGGGACUUAUUCUUUGUAAGCCCAGUACUUAUUCUAUCGGUCUUCUUUUGCCGAACCGCUAAGUGACGGGGACGUAAACACACCAGCAUCGGUUGUCAAGCAAUGCUAGGGAGACAAACACAGACACACACAUAUAUAUAUAUACAUAUAUACGACGGGCUUCUUUCAGUUUCCGUCUAUCAAAUCCACUCACAAGGCUUUGGUCGGCUCGGGGCUAUAGCAGAAGACACUUGCCCAAGAUGCCACGCAGUGGGACUGAACCCGGAACCAUGUGGUUGGUUAGCAAGCUACAAAUACACUGCAGCCACUGAAAUAUUGAAAAACCGGCCUUCCUUCGUUUUAACUCGACAAACGAAGGAAUGCCGUCAAACCAAUACUUUAUGGUAUUCUUUCAUCUAAUGCCUCGUGGUCGUUGUUGCAGAGCUCGGGUGAACUACUACAAUCGAUGGUUCGUGCGAGAUUUGGCUGCUAUUUUAAGCUAUAGAAGCUACCUUCUACACUCCACCGUUGCCACGUUAGUUUGUUGUGUUGCUUUCAGUUUGAGAAAUAUUCUCAAACACACUCCAACCACUGAAAUGUUCACAAACUAAUAUAUUCUAUUAUAUUUAUGGAAUAUUUGCUUUUUGGUAUAGCCACCGAUAUGUGCCCACCCCACAAGCAAUUUAUUUCCUCAUAACUUUCAGAAAAAUAAAGAUUUAUUAAUAUAGGCGCAGGAGUGGCUGUGUGGUAAGUAGCUUGCUUACCAACCACAUGGUUCCGGGUUCAGUCCCACUGCGUGGCAUCUUGGGCAAGUGUCUUCUACUAUAGCCCCGGGCCGACCAAUGCCUUGUGAGUGGAUUUGGUAGACGGAAACUGAAAGAAGCCUGUCGUGUAUAUGUAUAUAUAUAUAUGUAUGUGUAUGUGUCUGUGUUUGUCCCUCUAGCAUUGCUUGACAACCGAUGCUGGUGUGUUUACGUCCCCGUUACUUAGCGGUUCGGCAAAAAGAAGACCGAUAGAAUAAGUACUGGGCUUACAAAGAAUAAGUCCCGGGGUCGAUUUGCUCGACUAAAGGCGGUGCUCCAGCAUGGCCGCAGUCAAAUGACUGAAACAAAAAGAAAAGAGAAAAAAAAAAAGAGAAAUGAAAUUUUUCACAAACAUGUUUCAGAUAACGAUUAUGUAGGAAUUUGUUGUGAAAAAUACAAUUCUUAGGCGCUGGCGUGGCUGUGAGGUACAAAACUCGCUUCCCGACCACAUGGUUCCCAGUUCAGUCCCACUACUUGCUACUUUGUCUUGGGUUCAGUCCCAGUGCAUGGCAAAUUAGGCAAGAGUCUUCUACUUCUGACCGAAGUCUUGUGAGUGGAUUCCGUACACUGAAACUGAAAGGAGCCUUUGUUCUUCUAAGGCCCUUGUAAUAGAACUCGGAAUGUUGUGUCUCCAACCAGGCCUUUCACAAUACUUCUAAAGCCAGGAUAUUUUCAGAACCCUCUCAUACAAUGCUAGAGAGAAAAACAUGAAAGGAAAGUCUUUGAUCAUAUUGUUGUCUAGUUGGAAGCUAACCUGUGGCUAAACAAUAGCGUCAAAUGAUAUUUCAGGGGAGAGAAGAACGUCAUUGCCCACUAUUCUGUGUUUUCUCUUUUACUUGUCUCAGUCAUUUGACCGCGGCCAUGCUGGAGCACCGCCUUUAGUCGAGCAACUCGACCCCGGGACUUAUUCUUUUGUAAGCCCAGUACUUAUUCUAUCGGUCUCUUUUGCCGAACCGCUUAGUAACGGGGACAUAAACACACCAGCAUCGGUUGUCAAGCAAUGCUAGGGGGACAAACACAGACACACACAUACAUAUAUAUAUAUAUACACAUAUAUACGACAGGCUUCUUUCAGUUUCCGUCUACCAAAUCCACUCACAAGGCAUUGGUCGGCCCGAGGCUAUAGUAGAAGCCACUUGCCCAAGGUAUCACGCAGUGGGACUGAACCCGGAACCAUGUGGUUGGUAGACAAGCUACUUACCACACGGCCACUCCUUCGAAAUAAUAUUACACAAUGUGAAGGUGUAGCUGUUGUUUACAAAUAUGUAAGCUACACACAAGAUUCUGUGAUGUAAAUUUUAAUACAUUAAAAAGUUCAGUUGUUCGGGUAAAUGCUUAUUUCUAAAGUUUAUCUCUGUAGAAAUGUUGUCAAUUUUCCACAGUUGAAUCUGUAUUUUGAAAGCAGCUUCUUUAUCUUACACUGUUGUUUCUUUAUUAUUUCAGAAUAUCGGAUGACAUUGGAAUAACAGAAGAUAUAUUCUCAGUAUUUAUCAUCUUUUAAAGACUAAAGGAAAAUUGUAUAUGGAAUAGAAUUCUGUGGAAGAUGAGUUUGUGUACUGAUUAAUCUUGGAUAAAUUUACAAAGGAGUUGUUUGAUAAAGUAACAGUGGAGCAGAAUAUAGCAGCAUAAAUAUUUGUGAGAAAUAAAAUAAAAGGAGAAAAGCAAGAAAGUUUAUAUAAACUGUGAUUUUAAGGAAAUAUGGAGAAGUGUGAGAAAAGUAAAGCAUUGAUUUCCCCUAAAGACAUAAUACAAGAGAAAAGAAAAUUGUCAUAUGACUGUGAUGUCUGUAGAAAGUCCUUCUCUCAAAAGAGAAACCUAACUAGACAC
rnacentral:lncRNA from 1 species